UCGAGCGAACGGACGAGAAGCUUGCUUCUCUGAUGUUAGCGGCGGACGGGUGAGUAACACGUGGAUAACCUACCUAUAAGACUGGGAUAACUUCGGGAAACCGGAGCUAAUACCGGAUAAUAUUUUGAACCGCAUGGUUCAAAAGUGAAAGACGGUCUUGCUGUCACUUAUAGAUGGAUCCGCGCUGCAUUAGCUAGUUGGUAAGGUAACGGCUUACCAAGGCAACGAUGCAUAGCCGACCUGAGAGGGUGAUCGGCCACACUGGAACUGAGACACGGUCCAGACUCCUACGGGAGGCAGCAGUAGGGAAUCUUCCGCAAUGGGCGAAAGCCUGACGGAGCAACGCCGCGUGAGUGAUGAAGGUCUUCGGAUCGUAAAACUCUGUUAUUAGGGAAGAACAUAUGUGUAAGUAACUGUGCACAUCUUGACGGUACCUAAUCAGAAAGCCACGGCUAACUACGUGCCAGCAGCCGCGGUAAUACGUAGGUGGCAAGCGUUAUCCGGAAUUAGUGGGCGUAAAGCGCGCGUAGGCGGUUUUUUAAGUCUGAUGUGAAAGCCCACGGCUCAACCGUGGAGGGUCAUUGGAAACUGGAAAACUUGAGUGCAGAAGAGGAAAGUGGAAUUCCAUGUGUAGCGGUGAAAUGCGCAGAGAUAUGGAGGAACACCAGUGGCGAAGGCGACUUUCUGGUCUGUAACUGACGCUGAUGUGCGAAAGCGUGGGGAUCAA
rnacentral:rRNA from 1 species